rnacentral:lncRNA from 1 species
AGAGCAGUAAUGUGGAGUAAUGAUGAUGAGGAACUUGAAUGUUUUAUUUCAAAUAUAUCUGUAGUGUAUGAAUUGUUUACCACAAAAGAUAUCUAUUUUUCUAUUAGAUUGAAAGGAAAGGAAAAAGUCAAUAUGAUGGGUCUUGCUUUUUAAAGUGUACUGAGGUGGCAGAAACAAGUAGCUUAUUUUAUAAUACAAAGGAGGAUGCAUUUUGUUUAUAGAUUCUGGAUGAAAUUACAAAAGAUAAUGCGUUUGGAAGACAGAAAAAAGCCCAUAAGCUAAAAUCAAAAGUACAUCUCUUAUGGUAGUUGGCUCUUAUUUUACUCACAUACUCCAAACUAAUCCAAAUAUUUAUCAACAACCAGGAAAAGAAUAUCUACUUCCCAUAGCUACUAGAAAGGAAAGAUAACUCUGCCUUUCAGGGACCACAAGUUUGUGCUUUUGGGUAUUCCUAAAGUCCAUUAAGCCUGUACACUGCAUUAUAGGAAAGUCAGGACAUAUUGUUACCUAAUCAUACAAAGAAAAUGCAUGUGGUAUUUCAGCGUAGUUCUUACCUUCCUAAGUAGAGUUCUUACACAUGUGUAAGGGAGAUAGGUACUGAGAAAGGGAGAGUGGGAAUGUGAAGUGAUGCGUAACAUGCAACUUAGUAGGAAUUUUGACCUGUCUGGUCUUUCUCUGGGUUGGGCACAGCUUGACAGGCUUAUGUGUGGAUCACCACAUACCCUCACUUCCCCUUCCCUACCUCUUCCUCCUUUCUGGUUUUGUGGGAUAGGAUAUAAAUGACAUCUUCAAAGCAUGAGAAGCCACUUAUCUUCAGACUUGUAGGCAGCAGCUCACCCUCAUGUGCAAGUCUUCUGGCUCUGGAAACAACUCUAGCUCAGCCUUCUCCAUCAUGAGCCUCAGACUCAAUGCCACCCCUUCCUGUAACAGUGCCAGACCAUUUUGUGCCCUGCAGGUGUUGCUGCUUCUGUCACUGCUGCUGACUGCUCUGCCUUCCUGCACCAAUGGGCAAAAGUCAUGCUGAAAGAUGAGAGGAAAAUGUGCCUGGACCCAGAAGCUCCCAGAAUCAAGAAGAUAGUCCAGAAAAUGUUGGAAGGUGAUGGGUCAGCUGCUUAAUCUGUUCACUUUCUGCCAAACCUGUUUACCUCCCAGGAAGGGCAAGAUUUUAAAGACUUUCUAGAAUUCCUAUUUUAUCUUACUGUGUUAAAAUUACUCUUACUGUGUUACAAUUCAGGUAUUUUUCCAUUCUGUCUCAAAAAUCAUAUUUUAUUCUGAGAAGGCUGGUUAAAAGAUGACAGAAAGAUGAAAAUAAGCAAGCCUAGUUUCAACAUAGUAUAUGGUUUACUCUCUAAUUCCUGGCUAACCAUUGCACAGUACUUUACUCUCUUUAUUUGAGAAUCUCCUUCCAAACACAUUUUUGUUGAUUUUUCUUGCUCUAUUUUACUGUUAGGCUAGACAUGCCCAUGAUAAUUAAUAGACUUUAUAAUGGUCAAUGAUAUAAGAACUCAC